UAUUCAUCCGUGUGGAGGUCAGAACUACUGUUUUACUGCGAGUGUUUCUUUCUUACGACUGUUUUCUUCUUACGCGAAGAUUUUACAUUUUCAGCAUGAAACAGUCCAAACUGUCGGCUAGAAAGCGUCUUACAAAACCGAUUCUUUUUGGGACACUACUCGUAGGUUUGGCCACAGCAUUUUUCAAUAGACAUUUGUUCAUGGAGGACCUGGCAGAUCUCAGGGAGCAGGAACGAUGCCACAACGAGGCCAAACGGCUGGAGGUGCUGGAGAGGAGGAGGAAACAAAUAUAUGAACUUGAAGAGAAAAAGAGUGCAGGGGGCAGGUGAGAUGACUGAUGGAAUCCUGGAGGAAAUCAACACUGAAGAAAACUUUUUUUUUUUUUGCCAUCUUCGUUGUUCUGAUAUUGCUGUAUUUGGACAGACGUUGCAUGGAAAAUACAUGAGUGAUGUAGUAAGCAAUGAUUGCCUUGAUCAUAUUUAGCUGUAACAGCUGGAUUUGCAAGAGGAUUAGAAUUGUAAAUAUUAUUGGGCAAAACGAAUAUGUCUUAUUCCUGCCACUGACAAAAGCUACUUGGAUUUUAUUGAAAGCACGUUUUGUACAGUCAACAAUUUCUAAAUAUUACAAACAAUCUUCAUCAGUUACAAGCCUAAAAAAAAGCAUUUUAUGUACCAUUUCUUAAAACAUUUAUAAAAUUAUGAAUAAAUUGUUACACUGUGCAGUUAGCAAUAAAGCCUUAUCUAAAUUC